rnacentral:rRNA from 1 species
GGUAUGAACGGCACCGCAAAGGUUCAACUGUCUCCUGCAUCCAGUCCAUUAAACUGACCUCCCCGUGCAGAGGCGGGGAUAUGACCAUAAAACGAGAAGACCCUAUGGAGCUUUAAACUAAAGGCAACUGCCAAACCAUUCAACCCCCAAUGAUAAACAAUAAAACAAGCAGAAAUUGACCUAAAGUUUUCGGUUGGGGCGACCAUGGAGAAUAAAAAAUCCUCCUUGAAGAAUAGGGAUUAAAACCCUUAACCAAGAACCACUAUUCUAAGUAACAAAAUUUAUGACUGCAAUUGAUCCAAUCCUACUGAUCAACGAACCAAGUUACCCUAGGGAUAACAGCGCAAUCCAUUUCAAAAGUUCCUAUCGACAAAUGGGUUUACGACCUCGAUGUUGGAUCAGGGCAUCCCAGUGGUGCAGCCGCUACUAAAGGUUCGUUUGUUCAACGAUUAAAGCCCUACGUGAUCUGAUUUUCAAACCGGA